GAUGAACGCUGGCGGCGUGCUUAACACAUGCAAGUCGAACGAAGAUGCCGGAGUGCUUGCACUUUGGCAGACUGAGUGGCGGACGGGUGAGUAACGCGUGGGUAACCUGCCUUAUACAGGGGGAUAACAGUUGGAAACGACUGCUAAUACCGCAUAAGCGCACGGUAUCGCAUGAUACAGUGUGAAAAACUCCGGUGGUCUGGGAUGGACCCGNGUCCGAUUAGUUAGUUGGCGGGGUAACGGCCCACCAAGGCGACGAUUGGUAGCCGGACUGAGAGGUUGAACGGCCACAUUGGGACCUGAGACACGGCCCAGACUCCUAC
rnacentral:rRNA from 1 species